rnacentral:rRNA from 1 species
GAUGAACGCUGGCGGCGUGCCUAAUACAUGCAAGUCGAGCGAACGGACGAGAAGCUUGCUUCUCUGAUGUUAGCGGCGGACGGGUGAGUAACACGUGGAUAACCUACCUAUAAGACUGGGAUAACUUCGGGAAACCGGAGCUAAUACCGGAUGAUAUUUUGAACCGCAUGGUUCAAAAGUGAAAGACGGUCUUGCUGUCACUUAUAGAUGGAUCCGCGCUGCAUUAGCUAGUUGGUAAGGUAACGGCUUACCAAGGCAACGAUGCAUAGCCGACCUGAGAGGGUGAUCGCCACACUGGAACUGAGACACGGUCCAGACUCCUACGGGAGGCAGCAGUAGGGAAUCUUCCGCAAUGGGCGAAAGCCUGACGGAGCAACGCCGCGUGAGUGAUGAAGGUCUUCGGAUCGUAAAACUCUGUUAUUAGGGAAGAACAUAUGUGUAAGUAACUGUGCACAUCUUGACGGUACCUAAUCAGAAAGCCACGGCUAACUACGUG